AGCGGACCUGCCACCUCCCCGCGUGCUGUCCUAGUUCUUGCCUUCCGCUUGCUACGCCCGGGGAAGGACGUUGCGGAUUCUUUAUUGGUUGAUUCAUGUAUUUCAAAGGCGGAGUUACAGAGAGAGGGAGAGAGAGCAACUGCUGGAGCUGGGCUGGUCUGAAGCCAGGAGCCAGGAGCUUCUUCUGGGUCUCCCAGUUUCCUGCUAAUGGCCUGGGAAAGCAGUAGAGGAUGGAACAAGUCCUUGGACCCCUGUACCAGCGUGAGAGACCUGGCUCCUGGCUCCAGGCUUUGGAUCAGCGCAGCUCCACCUACUGCAGCCAUUUUGUGAGUGAACUGGCAGAUGGAAGACCUCUCUCUCUCUGCCUCUGCCUCUCUGUAAC